rnacentral:rRNA from 1 species
GGNUUGGCGGAAAGGGCAGCACCAGGAUGGANCNNCCGGNUUAAUUUGACUCNACACGGGAACNUCACCCGGCCNGAACACGGAAAGGAUGACAGAUGAUAGUUUUUNUNGAUUCUGUGGUUGNUGGUGCAUGCCGUUUUUAGUUGGUGGAGCGAUUUGUCUGGUUAAUNCCGAUAACGAACGAGACUCCUUCAUGCUAAAUAGUUACGCGGCCCUUUGUGNUCGCUGUACAACUUCCUAGAGGGGCANUGGCGUUCAAGCCACGCGAGAUGGAGCAAUAACAGGUCUGUGAUGCCCUUAGAUGUCCGGGGCUGCACGCGCGCCACAAUGGUUGGAUCAGCAUGUACCAACCCUACGCCGAGAGGCGCGGGUAAUCCGUUGAACCCCAAUCGUGAUUGGGACUGGGGAUUGCAAUUAUUCCCCAUGAACGAGGAAUUCCCAGUAAGCGCGGGUCAUAAGCUCGCAUUGAUUAAGUCCCUGCCCUUUGUACACACCGCCCGUCGCUACUACCGAUCGGAUGGUUUAGUGAGGUUCUCGGAUCUGCCCCGCCGGGGCUCCUCGUUGGGCACUGGCGGAGCGCAGAAAAGUCGAUCAAACUUGACUAUNUAGAGGAAGUAAAAGUCGUAACAAGGUUUCCGUAGGUGAACCUGCGGA